CCUACGGGUGGCAGCAGUGAGGAAUAUUGGUCAAUGGGCGGAAUCCUGAACCAGCCAAGUCGCGUGCAGGACGACGGUUCUAUGAGUUGUAAACCGCUUUUGUAGCGGGGCAAAAUGCGCCACGCGUAGGGUUUCGAAAGUACGGUACGAAUAAGCAUCGGCUAACUCCGUGCCAGCAGCCGCGGUAAUACGGAGGAUCAGAGCGUUAUCCGGAUUCAUUGGGUUUAAAGGGUGCGCAGGAGGAUGAUUAAGUUACCGGUAAAAUGCCGAGGCUCAACCUCGUCGAGCCGCUGAUACUGGUUGACGUGAGAGCGCGUGAAGCAGGCGGAAUGUGUGGUGUAGCGGUGAAAUGCAUAGAUAUUACGCAGAACUCCGAUUGCGAAGGCAGCAUACUGGCGCUCAACUGACGCUGAUGCACGAAAGCGUGGGUAUCGAACAGGAUUAGAUACCCGGGUAGUC
rnacentral:rRNA from 1 species